ensembl:lncRNA novel transcript
AUCCCGGCGCUGCCCACCCACCACACCGCUAGCGCCUCUGAACCUCGCCAGGCACGUCCGGUUCUGCGGCCCCCACUCCGCCCCCGCCUGCCGGGAGCCGCGCAGUUACAAAGUGCCGGGAGCCGUGCAGGGCCAGUGAACCCCUCGCUGAGACUCAGUUUGCUGCCAUCACAAGUGCUCUGAGAAUCCUGGAGAGGGAGGAUAUUGGAGACAAACGGGACUGCUGCCCGCCUUUUAGGCGACCGUUGGAGGCUGCUCUGUGCCGGACACAGGCAGGGGAAGAGGCCAGUACCCAGCAGCCAUGGCCCAAGCGCAGGUGGUCUGUUCUGUGCACCCAGCAUCCCCCUAGGGUCUAAACCAGGAGGUGGAGGCCAGAUACAAGAAAACCACAGUACCAGUAAAUGACAAAGGCUGGAUCUUAACCCAAGUCCUCCGACUCUGAAGGCCAUACCCAACAGCCAGCUCAGACCCAGGCGGUGGAGCAGGAAGGCUCUGGGGAAAACAGUGUGAGUCACCGGGCGGCCAGAGUGUGUCCUUCCCUGCUAGCGCACUACACGGCAGGUUUCAUAGCUUGACAGCAAAGUGUUUGAAAACGAAGAGCAGGAAUUCCGCGGUUCCUGCCCGGCCUCGCCAUCCAGCUGGGAGAAGAGCAUGGUCAUUUCCUUCACUUAGUCCACGGCCACUCGGCGCUCAUCCCCAGCACAGCCCUCCCCAGGCUGCGGCAAAGACUGUUGCUGUCCUGCUGAGGGAUGUGCCCCCGGGGAUUCAAUCGAGAUUCUGUAAGAUGUGGGGGAUGUGGCGGGGUGGGGGGUGGCUUCUCCACAUCCCCAGGGCUCUCCUUCUUCCCCAGUGAGGUGGGAGAAGCCGCAGAUUGGGGUCUGCUGAGGAGCGGGCCUACAUGAGGCCCAGGUCGUGACCCAUGGCUCCGGGGACCAGAAGGUAAACAGUUUCGGCACAGGGUGCUCCCACUAGGUCAUAGGUGGAUUCAGCCUUCUCUGAGAACCGAGAAGAUUCUGGAGUCUUUUGAAGCAGGAAAGGAGAUCAGAGGAGGAGAUGGUGGCAAAGCGGGGACUGAGACUCUUGAAAUGUGUUUAUCCCAGGCAGAGCAGCCGCUGAAAGGGGAGAUGGAGAGAGAAUGUCAAAAGCAGCACUGGGUGUUUUCCUGGGGUCUCUCCACAGUGCCCCAUCAUUUCCGAAUCACCAGGCCCGCUGGCACAGGGGUCUGCAGCCCAACCUCGCAGAAUGACCCCCUCUCUGCAGGCGGGCAUCACCCUGACAGCCCCCUCCCAGGACAGAAAACCUAUAGACACCUGGCUGCUGGGUGUCAGGCCACCCGCCCGUUUCUCUUCCUUUCCUUCCAGCCUUUCCUCUCCCAACCAGCCCCCUCCCCACCCGGUCCCCCUUCUAUUUUUCCUGGCUAAAACCAGCCACAGAUACCACCACACCCGGAAAGAGAUAAAUAAAUAAAAGAAAAACAACCUCAACUGUGAAAA